ACGAACGCUGGCGGCGUGGAUAAGACAUGCAAGUCGAACGAGAGAAUUGCUAGCUUGCUAAUAAUUCUCUAGUGGCGCACGGGUGAGUAACACGUGAGUAACCUGCCCCCGAGAGCGGGAUAGCCCUGGGAAACUGGGAUUAAUACCGCAUAGUAUCGAAAGAUUAAAGCAGCAAUGCGCUUGGGGAUGGGCUCGCGGCCUAUUAGUUAGUUGGUGAGGUAACGGCUCACCAAGGCGAUGACGGGUAGCCGGUCUGAGAGGAUGUCCGGCCACACUGGAACUGAGACACGGUCCAGACACCUACGGGUGGCAGCAGUCGAGAAUCAUUCACAAUGGGGGAAACCCUGAUGGUGCGACGCCGCGUGGGGGAAUGAAGGUCUUCGGAUUGUAAACCCCUGUCAUGUGGGAGCAAAUUAAAAAGAUAGUACCACAAGAGGAUGAGACGGCUAACUCUGUGCCAGCAGCCGCGGUAAUACAGAGGUCUCAAGCGUUGUUCGGAAUCACUGGGCGUAAAGCGUGCGUAGGCUGUUUCGUAAGUCGUGUGUGAAAGGCGCGGGCUCAACCCGCGGACGGCACAUGAUACUGCGAGACUAGAGUAAUGGAGGGGGAACCGGAAUUCUCGGUGUAGCAGUGAAAUGCGUAGAUAUCGAGAGGAACACUCGUGGCGAAGGCGGGUUCCUGGACAUUAACUGACGCUGAGGCACGAAGGCCAGGGGAGCGAAAGGGAUUAGAUACCCCUGUAGUCCUGGCAGUAAACGGUGCACGCUUGGUGUGCGGGGAAUCGACCCCCUGCGUGCCGGAGCUAACGCGUUAAGCGUGCCGCCUGGGGAGUACGGUCGCAAGAUUAAAACUCAAAGAAAUUGACGGGGACCCGCACAAGCGGUGGAGUAUGUGGCUUAAUUCGAUGCAACGCGAAGAACCUUACCUGGGCUUGACAUGUAAUGAACAACAUGUGAAAGCAUGCGACUCUUCGGAGGCGUUACACAGGUGCUGCAUGGCCGUCGUCAGCUCGUGUCGUGAGAUGUUUGGUUAAGUCCAGCAACGAGCGCAACCCCUGUUGCCAGUUACCAGCACGUGAAGGUGGGGACUCUGGCGAGACUGCCCAGAUCAACUGGGAGGAAGGUGGGGACGACGUCAGGUCAGUAUGGCCCUUAUGCCCAGGGCUGCACACGUACUACAAUGCCCAGUACAGAGGGGGCCGAAGCCGCGAGGCGGAGGAAAUCCUAAAAACUGGGCCCAGUUCGGACUGUAGGCUGCAACCCGCCUACACGAAGCCGGAAUCGCUAGUAAUGGCGCAUCAGCUACGGCGCCGUGAAUACGUUCCCGGGUCUUGUACACACCGCCCGUCACAUCAUGGAAGCCGGUCGCACCCGAAGUAUCUGAAGCCAACCGCAAGGAGGCAGGGUCCUAAGGUGAGACUGGUAACUGGGAUG
rnacentral:rRNA from 1 species